rnacentral:rRNA from 1 species
UACGUAGGUGGCGAGCGUUAUCCGGAUUUACUGGGUGUAAAGGGCGUGUAGGCGGGAGAGCAAGUCAGAUGUGAAAUUCCAGGGCUUAACCCUGGCGCUGCAUCUGAAACUGUUCUUCUUGAGUGUCGGAGAGGAAAGUGGAAUUCCCAGUGUAGCGGUGAAAUGCGUAGAGAUUGGGAGGAACACCAGUGGCGAAGGCGGCUUUCUGGACGAUAACUGACGCUGAGGCGCGAAAGCGUGGGGAGCAAACAGG